UACGUAGGGAGCGAAGCGUUGUCCGGAAUCAUUGGGCGUAAAGCGCGCGUAGGCGCCCGGAAAGUCGGAUGUGAAAUCCCGGGGCUCAACCCCGGGCCUGGCAUCCGAUCACUCCCGGGCUGGAGGCAGGUAGGGGAGGAUCGGAAUUCCUGGUGUAGGCGGUGAAAUGCGCAGAUAUCAGGAGGAACACCGGUGGCGAAGGCGGAUCUCUGGGCCUUGACCUGACGCUGGACGGCGCGAAAGCUAGGGGAGGCGAACGGGA
rnacentral:rRNA from 1 species